rnacentral:rRNA from 1 species
AGCGGCGGACGGGUUAGUAACGCGUGGGAACAUACCCUUUUCUACGGAAUAGCCUCGGGAAACUGAGAGUAAUACCGUAUAAGCCCUUCGGGGGAAAGAUUUAUCGGGAAAGGAUUGGCCCGCGUUAGAUUAGAUAGUUGGUGGGGUAAUGGCCUACCAAGUCUACGAUCUAUAGCUGGUUUUAGAGGAUGAUCAGCAACACUGGGACUGAGACACGGCCCAGACUCCUACGGGAGGCAGCAGUGGGGAAUCUUAGACAAUGGGCGCAAGCCUGAUCUAGCCAUGCCGCGUGUGUGAUGAAGGUCUUAGGAUCGUAAAGCACUUUCGCCAGGGAUGAUAAUGACAGUACCUGGUAAAGAAACCCCGGCUAACUCCGUGCCAGCAGCCGCGGUAAUACGGAGGGGGUUAGCGUUGUUCGGAAUUACUGGGCGUAAAGCGUA